rnacentral:snRNA from 1 species
GCUGCUUCUCGACUUUCUGAGUUAAAAUCAUGUGUUGUAUAUGUUAUUUGCAGCGUAAUUUCUGCAACGGCCUCUAAACUUAUUCCGAUGAAAUCACCUGUAUUUUCCGCUUCCAGACGGGGACUUUUAGCUUAUUCAACCCCAUCUACGGGUCGGCCUCGUAUUUCAUUACUUUGAGGAUUGGCUCAGUAAAU